rnacentral:lncRNA from 1 species
CUUUUUUUUUUUUUUUUUUUUUUUUUUUUUGUCUCCCUGCUUCCAGGAUCAUUAAAAGAGAAACCUGUAAAGGCAACAUUCCUGUAACCGAGUUGGUGCUGCAACGUGCUGCAACUCCCAUCUGAGAUUCCAGGAGCAUGCCCUGCGGGGUGACCAAUUCCUGGACCUGGUUUGGCACCCUGCUGGCUGGAACACAUGCCAGGACCCUGGCUCCUGGGGCCUCAGUCCCCUCUCCUGUGAUGAAAGAUCUGCAGAGCUUGAGAAGGAGUGAUCCAGACACGC